UACGGAGGGUGCAAGCGUUGUCCGGAUUUAUUGGGUUUAAAGGGUGCGUAGGCGGCCCGUUAAGUCCGGGGUGAAAGCCCACAGCUCAACUGUGGAACUGCCCUGGAAACUGGAUGGCUUGAGUACAGACGAGGGUGGCGGAAUGGAUGCUGUAGCGGUGAAAUGCAUAGAUAGCAUCCAGAACCCCGAUUGCGAAGGCAGCUGCCUAGACUGUAACUGACGCUGAGGCACGAAAGCGUGGGGAGCGAACAGG
rnacentral:rRNA from 1 species